rnacentral:rRNA from 1 species
UAAUAUUCCUGUACUUCUGGUUAUUGCGAUGGAGGGACGGAGAAGGCUAGGCCAGCUUGGCGUUGGUUGUCCAAGUUUAAGGUGGUAGGCUGAGAUCUUAGGUAAAUCCGGGAUCUUAAGGCCGAGAGCUGAUGACGAGUUGUCUUUUAGACGACGAAGUGGUUGAUGCCAUGCUUCCAAGAAAAGCUUCUAAGCUUCAGGUAACCAGGAACCGUACCCCAAACCGACACAGG